GUGAUCACUUCGGCAGCAUAUGUACUAAAAGUGGAACAAUACAGAGAUUUGCACGGCCCCUGCACAAAUAUGACACACAAAUUUGUGAAACAUUCCCUAUUUUU
rnacentral:snRNA from 1 species